UUGAUCGAUGAUGACCACUGGUGGCGUAUGAGUCAUGUACGAUGAAAAUCCAGGAAGUUUUAUCUGAUCAGAUCUAU
ensembl:snoRNA